rnacentral:rRNA from 1 species
CCUAGCCCUUCAGAGGGGGACAACAGUUGGAAACGACUGCUAAUACCGCAUACGAUCUAAUCUCGGCAUCGAGGAUGGAUGAAAGGUGGCCUCUAUUUAUAAGCUAUCACUGAAGGAGGGGAUUGCGUCUGAUUAGCUAGUUGGAGGGGUAACGGCCCACCAAGGCGAUGAUCAGUAGCCGGUCUGAGAGGAUGACCGGCCACAUUGGGACUGAGACACGGCCCAA